rnacentral:rRNA from 1 species
GAUGAACGCUGGCGGCGUGCCUAACACAUGCAAGUCGAGCGAACAGACGAGGAGCUUUUUCCUCUGACGUUAGCGGCGGACGGGUGAGUAAUACGUCGAUAGCCACCUUCUCAGUCUGGGUGGAUAACGGCAAGCCGGUGCUGAUACCACCUAAUAUUUUGGACCUCUUGGUUCAUUGGUGAAUGACGGUUUUGGUGUCACUGAUAGAUGGAUCCGCGCCGUAUUAGCUAGUUGGUAAGGUAACGGCGUACCAAGGCGACGAUGCGUAGCCGACCUGAGAGGAGGAUCGGCCACACUGGAACUGAGACACGGUCCAGACUCCUACGGGAGGCAGCAGUAGGGAAUAUUCCGCAAUGGGCGGAAGCCUGACGGAGCAACGCCGCGUGGGUGAUGAAGGUCUUCGGAUCGUAAAGCUCUGUUAUUGGGAAAGAACAACUGCGGAAGUAUCUAUGGGCGUCUUGACGGUACCUAAACAGAAAGCCCCGGCUAACUACGUG